CCUGCAUGGGGGAACCCUGACCGCCUUCCGCGUGUGCGAUGAAGGCCUUCGGGUUGUAAAGCACUUUUGGCAGGAAAGAAAUCGCACGGGUUAAUAACUCGUGUGGAUGACGGUACCUGCAGAAUAAGCACCGGCUAACUACGUGCCAGCAGCCGCGGUAAUACGUAGGGUGCAAGCGUUAAUCGGAAUUACUGGGCGUAAAGCGUGCGCAGGCGGUUCGGAAAGAAGGAUGUGAAAUCCCAGGGCUUAACCUUGGAACUGCAUUCUUAACUACCGGGCUAGAGUAUGUCAGAGGGAGGUGGAAUUCCGCGUGUAGCAGUGAAAUGCGUAGAUAUGCGGAGGAACACCGAUGGCGAAGGCAGCCUCCUGGGAUAAUACUGACGCUCAUGCACGAAA
rnacentral:rRNA from 1 species